ACAAUUGCCCUAUUUUAUUGGACUUUAUUCUAUAUUGCCCUAUUAACUCCUAUGUCUAUUCUAAUAUGCCCCAUCCUAAUUACUUAUUUCUUUUUUAUUUACUUUUAAUUACAAAACGUGGCUAACUACCCAAAUACCCUUAAUGAAUUAACAAAACUACAACCCAACCUAAGUUAAACCCACCCAAACCAUACCCAGUCGGAUCUAACCCGAAUCUCUCCUUAACCCUAACACGUGUUCCAUUGUCAUUAAGCUGUUAAAAAAAACCUUUCUCUCUGCCGAAAUCAAAACCGACGAAAAAAGAGACUGAAAUCCCUCUUCUCUCUUCCUUCUCAACCUCCGCAGAAGCAUUCAAAAUCGACAUCUUUCUUCUUCUUCUUUCCCGAAACCCAGUUUCCAAUGGAAUAGGAACAAAGUUGAUGAAGAAGCUGAGAAAGAAUCUAAAGAUGCAGAGAUAGAGAAAGAAGGAUGGAACAUAAGGAACAAAGGCUUGUAAUAUAAUGGCCGAGUGUUAAUUAAGAAUUUAAAUAUGUAAUUUAAGAAUAUUGUGUAGGAAAUUUUGUUAUGUUUGUUGCAAUGCCAGUUUGGAUAUUGUGUAUAAAAUUGGUAUUAUAUUGUUUUGAAAUAGGUUUAGAUAACUAGAAUGUUAAAUAUUACUAUGUGCCAAAAGAAAUAAGUUGGACUACUGGAUUUAUUAGAGAUUACUAGAACAUACAAAAUAUUAUAGAGAUUUCGUUGGCAAAAACAUGUCUUAACAUAAAAUACAUGGCUUACACAUGUUUAAAUUUAUUGAACUACUAAGCUUAUUAGGUAUUACUAAAACAAAUAAAACCUUCAAAACGUGUAAAACAUAUUUAGCACAUAAGCAUGUAAAACAUAUUUAACACAUGCCUGAAAGGGAUAAACAUUUUAGUUUUAAAAAAAAUAUUUUUAAAAUUAAUUGAUGAUUAAAUAUUAUUUAAAUAAUAUCAAAUAAUCCUUAAACAUAUUUUCAUAUUUGUUUUAUAUCGAUAUACCUAAUUUUUUUUAUUUUUAGUAAUUUCAGUCUUUUUACAACGAAAAAACUUGUCUAAAACAUUUUCAAAACUAAAAAAAAA